rnacentral:rRNA from 1 species
AUUGAACGCUGGCGGCAGGCCUAACACAUGCAAGUCGAGCGGAGCGGCGGACGGGUGCGUAAUGCCUAGGAAUCUGCCUGGUAGUGGGGGAUGACGUCCGGAAACGGGCGCUAAUACCGCAUACUCUCGGAUGAGCCUAGGCCGGAUUAGCUAGUGGGUGGGGAAAAGGCCCACCAAGGCGACGAUCCGUAACUGGUCUGAGAGGAUGAUCAGUCACACUGGAACUGAGACACGGUCCAGAAUCCUACGGGAGGCAGCAGUGGGGAAUAUUGGACAAUGGGCGAAAGCCUGAUCCAGCCAUGCCGCGUGUGGGAAGAAGGUCUUCGGGUUGUAAAGCACUUUAAGUAGGGAGGCGUUACCAACAGAAGAAGCACCGGCUAACUUCGUGCCAGCAGCCGCGGUAAUAC